rfam:Triticum aestivum genome assembly, contig: Triticum_aestivum_CS42_TGACv1_scaffold_576840_7BL
UACAUACUCCCUCCGUCCCAAAUUACUUGACGCAGAAAUGGUUAAAAUAGAUGUAUCUAGAACUAACAUCUAUCUAGAUACCUCCAUUUCUACGACAAGUAAUUCCGUACGGAGGGAGUAUGUU